rnacentral:rRNA from 1 species
UUAUCCGGAUUUAUUGGGUUUAAAGGGAGCGUAGGCGGGUGCUUAAGUCAGUUGUGAAAGUUUGCGGCUCAACCGUAAAAUUGCAGUUGAUACUGGGCGCCUUGAGUGCAGCAUAGGUAGGCGGAAUUCGUGGUGUAGCGGUGAAAUACUUAGAUAUCACGAAGAACUCCGAUUGCGAAGGCAGCUUACUGGACUGUAACUGACGCUGAUGCUCGAAAGUGUGGGUAUCAAACAGGAUUAGAUACCCUGGUAGUCCACACAGUAAACGAUGAAUACUCGCUGUUGGCGAUACACAGUCAGCGGCCAAGCGAAAGCAUUAAGUAUUCCACCUGGGGAGUACGCCGGCAACGGUGAAACUCAA